AUGUACCACGCGUGCACUGCGGUUCUGAGCGCGCCGUCCGCGCCCGCCUGGCGGUGAGCGCAGUCGUCUUGUUAGCC
rnacentral:sRNA from 2 species